GGCUUGUUGAUUUUAAUUUCAGGUUAGGCCUGCCCAAUGAUUGUUUGAAUGGCCGCGGUAUAYUGACCGUGCAAAGGUAGCAUAAUCAUUAGUUUUUUAAUUGARAGCUUGUAUGAAAGGUUUAAUGAAAAAAUUUCUGUCUCUGAAGUAAUUUAUUAGAAUUUUAUUUUUAAGUUAAAAAGCUUAAAUUUUUAUAGAAGACGAGAAGACCCUAUAGAGUUUAAUAUUUAUUUGAUGAAUAAAUUAGGAGUAUAAAAAAUUUAUUUGUUAAGUAAGUAUUUCGUUGGGGUGAUGAAAAAAUUAAUUAAACUUUUUUUGUAUAAGAGUACAUUGAUUUGUGAGUAUUUGAUCUUGAAGUUUGGAUUAUAAGAUGGAAUUACCUUAGGGAUAACAGCGUGAUUUUUUUAAGAGUUCUUAUCGAAAAGAAAGAUUGCGACCUCGAUGUUGGAUUAAAAUUAAUUAGUGGUGUAGAAGCUACAUGAAAUURGGUCUGUUCGACCUUUAAAAUUUUACAUGAUCUGAGUUUAGACCGGUGUGAG
rnacentral:rRNA from 1 species